rnacentral:rRNA from 1 species
GAUGAACGCUGGCUACAGGCUUAACACAUGCAAGUCGAGGGGAAACGACGGGGAAGCUUGCUUCCCCGGGCGUCGACCGGCGCACGGGUGAGUAACGCGUAUCCAACCUGCCUCUGACUGAGGGAUAACCCGUCGAAAGUCGGCCUAAUACCUCAUGGCAUCGUCUGCGGGCAUCCAACGACGAUUAAAGAUUUCAUCGGUCAGGGAUGGGGAUGCGUCUGAUUAGCUUGUUGGCGGGGUAACGGCCCACCAAGGCGACGAUCAGUAGGGGUUCUGAGAGGAAGGUCCCCCACAUUGGAAUUGAGACACGGUCCAAACUCCUACGGGAGGCAGCAGUGAGGAAUAUUGGUCAAUGGGCGAGAGCCUGAACCAGCCAAGUAGCGUGCAGGAAGACGGCCCUAUGGGUUGUAAACUGCUUUUAUGCGGGGAUAAAGUGAGGGACGUGUCCUUCAUUGCAGGUACCGCAUGAAUAAGGACCGGCUAAUUCCGUGCCAGCAGCCGCGGUAAUACGGAAGGUCCGGGCGUUAUCCGGAUUUAUUGGGUUUAAAGGGAGCGUAGGCCGUGGAUUAAGCGUGUUGUGAAAUGCAGGUGCUCAACGUCUGCACUGCAGCGCGAACUGGUCCACUUGAGUGUGCACAACGCAGGCGGAAUUCGUCGUGUAGCGGUGAAAUGCUUAGAUAUGACGAAGAACUCCGAUUGCGAAGGCAGCUUGCGGGAGCACAACUGACGCUGAAGCUCGAAAGUGCGGGUAUCGAACAGG